AACGAACGCUGGCGGCAGGCCUAACACAUGCAAGUCGAGCGGGACCUUCGGGUCUAGCGGCGGACGGGUUAGUAACGCGUGGGAACGUGCCCAAAGGUACGGAAUAGCCUCGGGAAACUGAGAGUAAUACCGUAUGUGCCCCUCGGGGGAAAGAUUUAUCGCCUUUGGAUCGGCCCGCGUGGAUUAGGUAGUUGGUGGGUAAUGGCCUACCAAGCCGACGAUCCAUAGCUGGUUUGAGAGGAUGAUCAGCAACACUGGGACUGAGACACGGCCCAGACUCCUACGGGAGGCAGCAGUGGGGAAUCUUAGACAAUGGGGGAAACCCUGAUCUAGCCAUGCCGCGUGAGCGAUGAAGGCCUUAGGGUUGUAAAGCUCUUUCAGAUGGGAAGAUAAUGACGGUACCAUCAGAAGAAGCCCCCGGCUAACUCCGUGCCAGCAGCCGCGGUAAUGUAU
rnacentral:rRNA from 1 species